CAGAUGCUGGACAAGCCAUGUGCUGAGAAUGGAUGACAGCAUCACACCGAAAAACUUUGAAGGAGGGACAGACCAAACCAAAGGCCAGGGAAGGGUCUCAGAGAUAGCUGUGGCUUAAACCAAAGCAGCAGUGAUGGAGAUAUUAACAUCUGGCCAGUUUCUGCAUUAUUGUGAAGAUGGAGCCAACAAGAUGCUCUGACAGAUCUGAGCAUUUCCCGAACACCCUACUGCUUUCUUCUCACCUGUGAACUAUGACCAGCAAAGACCAGAUGAAAUCUCACUUCAAAAAACCUAGGACUAUUCUCAAUUGGAAGUUCCUUUCACUCUUCUUACUGCCCACAGCAUGAAUUAACUUUGUACAGUUAA